rnacentral:rRNA from 1 species
UGGGGGAUAUUGCACAAUGGGCGCAAGCCUGAUGCAGCGACGCCGCGUGGGGGAUGAAGGCCUUCGGGUUGUAAACUUCUUUUGCUCUGAACAAGGCGCACUUUGGGGUGUGUUGAGUGUAGGGGUUGAUUAGCGCCGGCUAACUACGUGCCAGCAGCCGCGGUAAUACGUAGGGCGCGAGCGUUGUCCGGAAUUAUUGGGCGUAAAGGGCUUGUAGGUGGCUGGUUGCGUCUGUCGUGAAAGCUCAUGGCUUAACUGUGGGUUUGCGGUGGGUACGGGCUGGCUUGAGUGCAGUAGGGGAGGCUGGAAUUCCUGGUGUAGCGGUGGAAUGCGCAGAUAUCAGGAGGAAUACCGGUGGCGAAGGCGGGUCUCUGGGCGGUUACUGACACUGAGGAGCGAAAGCAUGGGGAGCGAACAGG